AACGCAUCUUGCGCUCCUUGGUAUUCCGAGGAGCAUGCCUGUUUGAGUGUCGUGAAAUACUCUCAACUUCAAUCUUUUUGUUUGAAGUUGGAUUUGGGCGUUGUUGUGGAUCAUCAUGACUCGUCCUAAAUGCAUUAGCGAUCUGGCUUGAUCACACACAAUGUGAUAAGAAAAAGCAUUGUUACAAUCGAGUGAAGACUGCUUCUAACUGUCGCAAGACAAACAUCUUUAUGUCAUUUGACCUCAAAUCAGGUAGGACUACCCGCUGAACUUAA
rnacentral:misc_RNA from 1 species